UUGUAAAAAAAAUAGAAUAGGAUGUAAAUUAAAAAAAGAAGACAUCUUGGGAUGUAAAAUGCAAGGGGCUUAACAGGUUAGGAUGUAAAUUGUAAAAAUAAAUAGAAUAGGAUGCAAAUUAAAAAAAAGGAAGACACUUGAGUGUAAAAUGCAAGCAACCCGGGAUCAUCUAUCAUUUCUCCACCAUAUAACCUACACACAACCUCACAUUUCCAGUAAUAGAGCACGCAAAAACGCACACACACACCACUGCCAUAUACAAGUCAUCACUCUCAUAUACUCACACACACAGAAGACGCACCUCACGAAAGAAAAAACACUAUCGAUACGGAGGGACGCCAUGUUGGUUCUGUCUUCACCACAAAUCACACACUCACCAUAAUUUCAUCUUCUCUUUUCUUUUUGGUACACCCAAAUCUCUGAAGAACACCAUAUACGUAUAGGCACACAGUAAGGGAGAGGAUGGGGUGAUACAGGGGUCUUCAUGCACAUAUUUAGGAGACGGGUCUUCUCACAGUGAAGAAAAGUUUUUUAUCCGGUGAACCUUUUUGCCGGAAUCAGGUUUACAGGUCACCCUUUUGAUCGAUUCAAGUAUGAAUCUGUCCUGAAAACGUUAAAAUCACCGGAAUUAGCCUUGUUCAUCGAUAUCCGCCGCUGUCUGAGCUUAUCGGAGUGUUGAGUACAUCGUUUAUCUCGGUGGGUUCGUUGUGGUCUGUUUCGGGGCUCCGUUUCUCAAUACCAAGUUAGAGUUCGUUCACUGUCCUUCACGGGUUCUCUUUUCGAAUUGGAUUUCGAGGGAUUUUUGUGCUCGAAUUGGUUCAUAGUUGAGAUUUCGGUGUUCGUUGAGGUUCUCGGAGCGGCUCUCAUCUGUCUUUUCAAGUUAAUCGAAAGCUUCUGAGGUGACAAGUUACCAAUUGGGCCUCCAUCACUAAUGAUGUCUCCACAACCAGUAGAUUUGAGCAUUAUCAAAAUUGGCGCUGUUAAAAAAAGAGAUGACAAGUAUGACAUAUCGAUCGAUGCCAUAAAAGUGGCUUGGGCCGAUUUACCCGAACCUACACAUCUAAAUCCGCUAGCAAAUUAUUGGGUGAAGAAUCACAAGGGUUUCGCGAUCAAUAUUGAAGAUGUUGAGAUGAAGAAGAUAGCACCGUUUCCAUAAGUAAUUUGUGUACUAGAAUCUUUGCGAUUCCUCGAUAUCUAUCAAUAUAUCGAUAUCCCAAUCUGAUAUGUUUACAUUUCUUCGUGCUGGCCUGCCUUUCAAGUUUGAGCUUCGAUCUAGCUUGUUGUUACUUGAGUCUUGGCUUUUCCAUGAGUAAUUUGUGUAAAAGUUUUCUACAUAGUUUGUAAUCAUGUUAAUGUUUUACUUUUACUGUACAAAUAAAGACAUUUACUAUAGGGGAUAUAAAUUAUAAUUAUAUAUGUAAAUUUUAUGUUUGAUGAAGCAAUUAGUUUUUUUUUUUAA